UUUCAAACAAACCACCAGUGAACGUCUGUCUAUAAGUGAGGAGGAGCAGGACAUGGAUGCUUCAAUUGCUCUGAGUGCAGACCAUGGAUGUCUGCGGUGGACAAGAAAAGAGGCGCUCUGCUGGAUGGAGGCCAUGCAGAGGUGGUGUGAGGGAUCAGAUAUUGCCCAAGGGGGUCCACCAACGCAUCAUCCCCCAGCGAUGAGUAAGCUACCACCAGCGGUACCAGCGGAGAAACACUGCUGGAUGAGCAGGGAACAGUGGGAGACGACGUCAGAAAUUGCCAGAGUUAAAGUGGGAGUUGCUCAAGUGAAGGAGGCUGAGUCCAGAAGAGGAGCUCAUAAUGACUGGUUGCAAAUGAGCUAA
ensembl:lncRNA